rnacentral:lncRNA from 1 species
CCAAUUCUCAUUAUUGGGAUCCGUCUAAACCUUUAAAUAAAGAAACCGAGCAAAACUUAGAAACAUCUGUUGGGUAAAAAGGUUAAUUUAGCCUUUGUUUUCUUUUUUAGUUUAAUUUGUUUUUACACCAAUAUAUAUAUAUAUCAAAUCUCUAAUCUCUAUUAGCAAAAAUUUUUUGAAUUCUCAUUGUUGUAUUAUGAAAC